AGCAGGGUGGCCUACUGGAUAGAGCACAGGCCUGGGAGUCAGAAGGGCCCGGGUUCUAGUCCCGGCUCUGCCA
rfam:Ornithorhynchus anatinus chromosome 5, whole genome shotgun sequence.